ACUCCUACGGGAGGCAGCAGUGGGGAAUUUUGGACAAUGGGGGAAACCCUGAUCCAGCCAUCCCGCGUGUGCGAUGAAGGCCUUCGGGUUGUAAAGCACUUUUGGCAGGAAAGAAACGUCGCGGGCUAAUACCCCGCGGAACUGACGGUACCUGCAGAAUAAGCACCGGCUAACUACGUGCCAGCAGCCGCGGUAAU
rnacentral:rRNA from 1 species